rnacentral:rRNA from 1 species
UACGGGGGGGCAAGCGUUGUUCGGAUUUACUGGGCGUAAAGGGCGCGUAGGCGGGCUGCCAAGUCCGGGGUGAAUCCUCCAGCUUAACUGGAGAACUGCCUCGGAUACUGGAAGUCUCGAGGAGGGUAGGGGCACGCGGAACUGGUGGGUGGAGCGGUGAAAUGGCGUUGAUAAUCCAUAGGAACUCCGGUGGCGAAGGCGGCGUG